rnacentral:ribozyme from 14 species
AAAGACAAAAAACACAAAGGAAAACGAAAGAAAAAAAAAACGAAAGGAGAGACGUCACCAGACAGAACAAAACACAAACUUUGCCUGUCCUCUCUUCCUCUUUUUUUUUU